AUUGAACGCUGGCGGCAGGCCUAACCCAUGCAAGUCGAGCGAGCGGCGGACGGGUGAGUAAUGUAUGGGGACUGCCCGAUCGAGGGGGAUAACUACUGGAAACGGUAGCUAAUACCGCAUACUAUCGGAUAACCCAUAUGGGAUUAGCUAGUAGGUGAGGUAAUGGCUCACCUAGGCGACGAUCCCUAGCUGGUCUGAGAGGAUGAUCAGCCACACGGGGACGGGGACACGGCCCAACCUCCUACGGAGGCAGCAGUGGGGAAUAAUGAACAAUGGGGGCAAGCCUGAUGCAGCCAUGCCGCGUGUAUGAAGAAGGCCCUAGGGUUGUAAAGUACUUUCAGUCGGGAGGCGUUACCGACAGAAUAAGCACCGGCUAACUCCGUGCCAGCCGCCGCGGUAAUAC
rnacentral:rRNA from 1 species